GGGGGUGUAAGCUCAACGGCAAACUGUCGCUCUCCAAAAGCGAACUUCCAGGUUCGAAUCCUGGCACCCCCGCCA
rnacentral:tRNA from 1 species